rnacentral:rRNA from 1 species
AAGCUCGUAGUUGAAUUUCGGGGUUAGUAGGUUGGUCAUGCCUCUGGUAUGUACUGGUCUCACUGAUUCCUCCUUCCUUAUGAACCGUAAUGCCAUUAAUUUGGUGUUGCGGGGAAUUUGGACUGUUACUUUGAAAAAAUUAGAGUGUUUAAAGCAAGCUAACGCUUGAAUACAUUAGCAUGGAAUAAUGAAAUAGGACGUUCGAUCUUAUUUUGUUGGUUUCUUAGGUAGUUAGUACGGUAACGUUAGUAGUUAAAUUAAGGGUAAAGGUUAAGGGUUCGGGUCGUAGGACGGGCGGGUCGGUCGGACGGAACGG